GAUGAACGCUAGCUACAGGCUUAACACAUGCAAGUCGAGGGGCAGCAUUGGAGUAGCAAUACUUCAGAUGGCGACCGGCGCACGGGUGAGUAACACGUAUCCAACCUGCCGCUUACUCGGGGAUAGCCUUUCGAAAGAAAGAUUAAUACCCGAUGGUAUAAAGAGUUCGCAUGUUCUCUUUAUUAAAGAAUUUCGGUAAGCGAUGGGGAUGCGUUCCAUUAGAUAGUUGGCGGGGUAACGGCCCACCAAGUCUACGAUGGAUAGGGGUUCUGAGAGGAAGGUCCCCCACAUUGGAACUGAGACACGGUGCAAACUCCUACGGGAGGCAGCAGUGAGGAAUAUUAGUCAAUAGACGAGAGUCUGAACCAGCCAAGUAGCGUGAAGGAUGACUGCCCUAUGGGUUGUAAACUUCUUUUAUAAGGGAAUAAAGUGAGGGACGUGUCCCUUUUUGUAUGUACCUUAUGAAUAAGGAUCGGCUAACUCCGUGCCAGCAGCCGCAGUAAUAC
rnacentral:rRNA from 1 species